rnacentral:lncRNA from 10 species
AGUGUAACAAUGUCCUUUGUCUCUGACCCAGGCAUCUCUUGUCUUCUUCCAGAAACCAUGACACUAUGGCAGGCCAACUUACUAGCUUUCAAGUAAGGUAACAUCUCAGACCAUCAUAGGUUUUGACAGGGGAAACUCUGAAGGACCACAGGAGUUGGAGGUUCCACGUAUCUCUAAGUAGUAACAUACGAUGGGUCCAAAACAGAAGAAAGAGAACUCAAGAUUCCCGAGCCACAGAGCUGUUGAUUGGAGGCUGACUCAGAGAAACCCUGGAUUCAGUGACAUACAGAGACAACAGGUACAGGAUCAGUAUGGGUUUUAAUUGAGGGGCUCGGCACCAAAUGACAGACUUGACACAUCCACCCCCACCAUGGAUGCUGUCCGUCCACUGUUGCACAAUGUCCUUCAGUGUCUAAUUUACAGAUCCAGCUGUAUUUCCCCUUCCACCUGCAUCCCUGAAGUUCCUCCCACCUGAAAACUUCACCUGACCCAAGAAAGCAAAGGAAAAAACCCGGAGAGCCAGCUCAUAGUCUGGUUCACUGUUUAACAGCCAGAAGCCAGAGCCUGCGUACUAGAAGUGGAUGCCCAGGAAGUACUUGUGAGCUGACUAAGAAUGUAAGAACGCCACCCACUUCAUUCAGGAAAGUGAGGCAGGAUUCCAUGGAGUAUGAAUGACUGCACAUGGAACAAGCAGGUUAUCAUUUAUAUUCAGCAAGGGACCUCCAUGAACAGGACAUUUGGGGAGCUGCUAUCAAACAUCAGAACUUCUGACACUGUGCACACAGUCUUAUAUUGUGCCUUGUCUGUUGUGAUGUCUCACUACAGUAAUGAUUAAGAUGAUGAGCACUUAUGCGUUGAUAUUGCAAUAUGUCUGCGUAAGAACUAUCGCUAAGGCAGGUUAUAUUAUUACCCUCAGUGUAUAGGUAAGGAGGUUAGACUGAUAACUUACCCAGUGUCACAUAGGUAGUAA